rnacentral:lncRNA from 1 species
UUUUUGGGGUGAAUUCUGGGGAUUUGGGGUUUUUUGGGAUUUUCUUGGGUUUUCGUUGGGUUUCGGUUGGGUUUUGUUGGGUUCUCGUUGGGUUUUUGUUGGGUUCUCAUUGGGUUCCUCUUCUUGUUGGGUUCCUUUUGAGGUCUUGGUCUUCUCCAAGUCCAGCAAGUGUGAGUGCUGGGCUCAUUUUUGGGGUGAAUUCUGGGGAUUUUGGGUUUUUUGGGAUUUUUUGGGGUGUUUUCGUUGGGUUUUGUUGGGUUUUGGUUGGGUUCUUGUUGGUUUUUUGUUGGGUUCUCGUUGGGUUCCUCUUCUUGUUGGGCUCCUUUUGAGGUCUUGUUCUCCUCCAAGUCCAGCAAGUGUGAGUGCCGGGCUCGUUUUUGGGGUGAAUUCUGGGGAUUUUGGGUUUUUGGGGAUUUUUUUGGGUGUUUUCGUUGGGUUUUUGUUGGGUUCUCGUUGGGUUUUUGUUGGGUUCUCGUUGGGUUCCUCUUCUUGUUGGGUUCCUUUUGAGGUCUUGGUCUUCUCCAAGUCCAGCAAGUGUGAGUGGUGGGCUCGUUUUUGGGGUGAAUUCUGGGGAUUUUGGGUUUUUGUUUUUUUUGUUGGGUUUCGGUUGGGUUUUGAUUGGGUUCUUGUUGGGUUUUUGUUGGGUUCUUGUUGGGUUUCAUCUUCUUGUUAGGCUCCUUUUGGGGUCUUGGUCUCCUCCAAGUCCAGCAAGUGUUAGUGCUGGGCUCGGUUUUGGGGUGAGUUCUGGGACUUUUGGGUUUUCGGGGUUUUUUGGGGAGAUUUUGGGGGAUUUCAUUGGGUUUUCAUUAGGUUUU